CCACGGGAGGUAGCAGUGGGGAAGUUUGCGCAAGGAUCGUAAGAGGGACGCAGAGACGACGCGUGAAGGACGAAGGCCUUCGGGUCGUAAAGUUCUUUCGACAGGGAAGAAAAUGCCUAUAAGUAACUGUGUAUGUAUUGACGGUACCUGUAUAAGCAGCCCCGGCUAACUCCGUGCCAGCAGCCGCGGUAAUACGGAGGGGGCGAGCGUUGUUCGGAGUGACUGGGCGUAAAGAGCACGUAGGCGGUGUUGUAAGUCAUUAGUCAAAGACUAGAGCUCAACUUUAGUAAGGCUAGUGAUACUAUAAUACGAGAGUAUCAGAGAGGAUUGCAGAAUUCCUGGUGUAGCGGUGAAAUGCGUAGAUAUCAGGAGGAAUACCGUUAGCGAAGGCGGCAAUCUGGCUGGAAACUGACGCUGAGGUGCGAAAGCGUGGGUAGCAAACAGGAUUAGAUACCCGAGUAGUC
rnacentral:rRNA from 1 species